UGUGUAGGCGGUUUGGUAAGCCUUCUGUUAAAGCUUCGGGCCCAACCCGGAAAGCGCAGAGGGUACUGCCAGGCUAGAGGACGGGAGAGGAGCGCGGAAUUCCCGGUGUAGCGGUGAAAUGCGUAGAGAUCGGGAGGAAGGCCGGUGGCGAAGGCGGCGCUCUGGAACGUUACUGACGCUGAGACACGAAAGCGUGGGGAGCAAACAGGAUUAGAUACCCUGGUAGUCCACGCCCUAAACUAUGGAUACUAAGUGUCGGCGGGUUACCGCCGGUGCCGCAGCUAACGCAUUAAGUAUCCCGCCUGGGAAGUACGGCCGCAAGGUUGAA
rnacentral:rRNA from 1 species